AGAGAGAGGGAGAGAGUGUGGAGAGAGAGAGAGAGAGAGAGAGAGAGAGAGUCGUGCGUGUUGAGCCAUGAGCCAUUUUUGGAAAGCGCUUCGUGACAGUCGGCUGCUUCGUGAUCUUUGGAGAGGAGGAAAUUUACGCAUGGUGCGUAAUGUUGAUCAGAUCCACCGGGUGCAUUCACGUCGGCAAGAUUCCCAGCAUCAUAAAAGGGCAUAGCCCUAGUGCUAAUAUUAGCACUUCUAUUGGCCAGAAGAUCCAAGAACAGAAAAAACUCCUGAAGAACUACUUCAAGAGGAUAUGACAAGACAAUUUAAGGCCUUCCUAUUGAUAUUAUGCACAUAUGAUUCAUUUAUCUGUGAAGAAUUAAGAAUCGAACAUGUCAGCGCGCUGACGCAUCAUGGCGCGCGUCAGGAUCCACAUCCAAAACCUUUAUUUCCAGGAAGAUCUUCUUCAGGAUGUAUAGAAGCAUUU